rnacentral:rRNA from 1 species
AAAUUGAAGAGUUUGAUCAUGGCUCAGAUUGAACGCUGGCGGCAGGCCUAACACAUGCAAGUCGAACGGUAACAGGAAGCAGCUUGCUGUUUCGCUGACGAGUGGCGGACGGGUGAGUAAUGUCUGGGAAACUGCCUGAUGGAGGGGGAUAACUACUGGAAACGGUAGCUAAUACCGCAUAACGUCGCAAGACCAAAGAGGGGGACCUUCGGGCCUCUUGCCAUCGGAUGUGCCCAGAUGGGAUUAGCUAGUAGGUGGGGUAACGGCUCACCUAGGCGACGAUCCCUAGCUGGUC